rnacentral:rRNA from 1 species
UACGUAGGGGUCGAGCGUUGUCCGGACUUACUGGGCGUAAAGCGUGGGUAGGUGGUCGGUGAUGUGCCGUGUGAAAGCCCCGCGUCAUCGGGGGGAGGUCGCGGGUAGACACAUCGACUUGAGGCAUGCAGAGGGCAGUGGAAUUCCCGGUGUAGCGGUGAAAUGCGCAGAUAUCGGGAAGAACACCCGUGGCGAAGGCGG